CAAGUCGAACGCGAAAGUUCCCUUCGGGGGGCGAGUAGAGUGGCGUCCGGGUGAGUAACACGUAGGUAAUCUACCUUUGGGUGGGGAAUAACGCAGGGAAACUUGCGCUAAUACCGCAUAAUGCAGCGGCACCACAUGGUGACAGUUGUUAAAGCGGGGGAUUUUCGGACCUCGCGCCUAAAGAGGAGCCUGCGGCAGAUUAGCUAGUUGGUAGGGUAACGGCUUACCAAGGCAACGAUCUGUAGCCGGCCUGAGAGGGCGGUCGGCCACACUGACACUGACAUACGGGUCAGACUCCUACGGGAGGCAGCAGUCGGGAAUUUUGGGCAAUGGGCGAAAGCCUGACCCAGCAACGCCGCGUGAAGGAUGAAAUCCUUCGGGAUGUAAACUUCGCAAGAAUGGGAAGAAUUAGUAGGGGUUAAUACCCUCUAUGAUGACGGUACCAUUUGUAAGCUCCGGCUAACUCCGUGCCAGCAGCCGCGGUAAUACGGGGGGAGCAAGCGUUGUUCGGAUUUACCGGGCGUAAAGGGCGCGUAGGCGGUCAGCACAAGUCAGUUGUGAAAUCUCCGGGCUUAACUCGGAAAGGUCAACUGAUACUGUGCGACUAGAGUGCGGAAGGGGCAACUGGAAUUCUCGGUGUAGCGGUGAAAUGCGUAGAUAUCGAGAGGAACACCUGCGGCGAAGGCGGGUUGCUGGGCCGACACUGACGCUGAUGCGCGAAAGCCAGGGGAGCGAACGGGAUUAGAUACCCCGGUAGUCCUGGCCUUAAACGAUGGAUGCUUGGUGUCUGGAGUUUUAUAGUCUCCGGGUGCCGCAGCUAACGCGUUAAGCAUCCCGCCUGGGGAGUACGGUCGCAAGACUGAAACUCAA
rnacentral:rRNA from 1 species